GUGCCCUUGUAAGGUGCGAGGGUACAGCCCUUUCAGAGGCUACACCGAAGAGUAAAAUAAGCAUCCAUAAAACUCACAGAAGAGAUUAUCAAACUCCUUUUUGGAUCCUAUCUGAAGUCACGAUG